rnacentral:rRNA from 1 species
AUGGCCUCGCCGCCGCCGCCGACCAUUCCCGACGAGCUCCUGGAGGAGAUCUUCAUCCGCCUGCCCACACCGGACGCGCUCGCCCGCGCCUCCGCCUCCUGCAGCUCCUUCCGCCGGGUCAUCAAAGGCCGCGCCUUCCGCCGCCGCUUCCGCACGCUGCAUCGCCCUCCCCUCCUCGGCUUCAUGGACGCGGGCGGAUUCCACCCCGCCCAGGCGCCGCACCCCUCCGCCCCGCUCGCCGGCGCCCUCGCCCCCUGCGCCGCGGAUUUCUCCUUCGUCCCGGCAGUCGUUUCUUCUGCCUCCUACGUGCGGCCCGGCGUCCAAGAAGACGGCGGGGAAGGCCCCCGCUGGCGCCCCCGCGACGUCCGCGACGGCCGCGUCCUCCUCGAUUGGAGAUCCUUCUACCCCCGUUCCGUCCACAUGUGGAGCUACCGCGAAGACUGUGCCCGCCGUCAGGUAAGCAUCCUCAUGGACUCCAGUGAGCUCGGUGACGAAGAACGCUGUGAGACGUGGACCAAACGGGAGCGGUGCAACGCUGCCGACUUCCACCUCGCCGUCUGUGACCCGCUGUCCAGCAGAUACGUGUUGCUUCCAACCAUACCCGAGGACCUCGCCGCCCAGCCGCAGGAUCGCCUCCAUGGAUUCGAGCCCGUACUUGCUCCCAACACCAGGUACGACGGCGAGGAAGAGCCCUUCAAGGUGAUAUGCAUAGCAAGAUACAUGACGAAGCUUGUCCUCUUUGUGCUCCCGUCCACAACUAUGCAAUGGUCUAUGGUCGAGCCUCCCAUUUCACCUUCGUUGGAACGCAUGUCCUGUUUUGACUGCGUGCGCUGCUGCUUCUACUGGACAAAGCCUUAUGGCUGGAGUGACCAUUUGAUGGUGCUGGACACCCGCACUUUGAGGUUUUCCACUGUCGACCUUCUCACCGGCUACAAUGUGGAGCUCAGCGAUCUGCCUGACGAGUGCUUUGCCCAUCGACACCCAAUGGCUGUUGUGAUGGGCUGGGAAGGCGCCCUUGAGAUGUUUUCCCUUGUAAGUCAAACACGGAUCCUUUGCCCUCUACCAUACCUCUCUGAAGAAUAA